GAUGAACGCUGGCGGCGUGCCUAAUACAUGCAAGUCGAGCGAAUGGAUUAAGAGCUUGCUCUUAUGAAGUUAGCGGCGGACGGGUGAGUAACACGUGGGUAACCUGCCCAUAAGACUGGGAUAACUCCGGGAAACAGGGGCUAAUACCGGAUAACAUUUUGAACCGCAUGGUUCGAAAUUGAAAGGUGGCUUCCGCUGUCACUUAUGGAUGGACCCGCGUCGCAUUAGCUAGUUGGUGAGGUGACGGCUCACCAAGGCAACGACGCGUAGCCGACCUGAGAGGGUGAUCGGCCACACUGGGACUGAGACACGGCCCAGACUCCUACGGGAGGCAGCAGUAGGGAAUCUUCCGCAAUGGACGAAAGUCUGACGGAGCAACGCCGCGUGAGUGAUGAAGGCUUUCGGGUCGUAAAACUCUGUUGUUAGGGAAGAACAAGUGCUAGUUGAAUAAGCUGGCACCUUGACGGUACCUAACCAGAAAGCCACGGCUAACUACGUGCCAGCAGCCGCCGUAA
rnacentral:rRNA from 1 species